AGGAUUUACAAACCAAAAUAUUUUAAGACUGAACGUUUCUGUAAUUAUCCCCAGUUUGCUGCUCAUGUUUCCCGUGGAUAUUUGGCCUAUACCUUUUCCCAUUGAAAAAUUACACUAAGCCUUUUGUACACUUGAGUUGACAAACUUCCUGAUAUAACAAUGAGAAAGCAGAUAUGCAUCUGAAAGUUUCAGACUUCGAGUUUACAGAGUUCUUAGACUGCACGCCCCUGUGACAGCACUUAAGGAAAUAGGGCGUGUUGACCUUCGUUUGUUAGGGAUUUUUUUUAAAGCAGAGCUGAGCACACACUGGAUAUGUCUGAAUGUGUUUCUUUAGUUUGUUGUGAAAUCGUUCUAUUUGACAGGCAGAGCCAGAGUCACUGGUGAACUGCCAUCAUCCGUGGAUCGGCUUAAAUUCGUUUGAACCUUUAGAUUCCAUUUCUUAAUUGAUUAGCUGGUAUGAAAAGAUGCCAAUGCUCAUAAAUCAUAAGCACAGUAUCAGAGAAUUUAAAAGUUAUACAAAGCUAUAGUUCACACAUCAGGAACUGCUGUUUACUAUAAACCACCUGCAAGAAAGUCAGGACCAACAAAGUCACAGUAACUGUCCUGCUAAGAACUUUAUUUAUAUAAAGAUUUCCAUUCUGUUUUAUCAAUUGGGAACACCUUAAUGUUUAAUAUUUAAACUAUUGGUAUCAUUUUUCUAAUGUAUAAUUUGUAUGACCAGGAUAAAUACAUGCAGUGGCGAUGCUAGUGGUAUAAGUAAAGUUUAAACAAGCUUUGGAAAUACUCCUUUCAUAUUUUGAGAUGUCGUGGAUUUAAUAAGUAGUUAUUUAUAUUUUAAAAAGUCAGAGUAGUUAACCUCUGAUCUAAAAGCAUCAACAUACAUUUUUUUUUACAGUAAUUAACAUAGAAGUAUUUCAGUAAUGUAUAUUGUUUGAAGAGGUUGCUGCAGGUAGACUAUAUUUCAGCUCUAAGAUCUUGGCCAAAUAAUUUACAAUCCACAGGAUGUUUAAUGAGGUGCUUUUUUUCUUUAAAAUUUGAUUUUUCUUAAGACUUUAUUCAUGCCAAAGUUAGUGAGGAAUAAAGCUCAGAACUAGUUGAGGAUCAUUAUAUGCAAAACUACCAGUAGACCACAUUGUUUCAUUUAAUAUUAAGUUGGAUAAAGUGAGUUUUAUUCCAGUCAAAGCCUCAAUCACAUUUUUAAUGUCUGCAGGUUUGACACUGUUUCUAUAGUAUCAUACUAGUGCCAAGAUUUACCGAAUGUUUUAAAAUUGGCCCAAUUGACCUGUGCAAAUUAAAAAAAGAGUGAUUCAGUGCAUAAGCAAAACGUAAUGAUUAUAAUUGAAAUAUCUCCAGUUAAAAAAUAAAUCUUGAUGUUUUCAAUCCUUAGGAGGAUUCAAUAGUUAAUAUUGAUGACUUCAUAUUAAAAACUUUAUCUGCAAUUGGAAAGGCCCAUGGCCACUAUCAAAGUACAUUGUUUGUUGUAUCUGAGCCCUAACAAGCGUUUAAAUGUAUACAUGAUCUUCCAAAAUGGUCUGGCAUUUUAACAAUUAAUGCUAGUAACAUCACGUCUAAAUUGAGAGUAAUUGGCAUGUUUAAUAAUAAUAGUGUAUCGAUAAAUUUUUAAGACCAUGGCUUCGUAAACAAGGAGGGGGAAGCAUUAGUGAAAUGUAUGUGAAAUUCCUGAUCUGUUGCGGAAGCACUUCAGUCGUCUCUUGCAUAGUUCAAAGGUGAAUGUUUCCAGGAAUUUUUUUUAAUGUUUGUUUUUUUUUUUUUUUGAAGAGGAAAACGUCUAUUUGAAUGUGAUUAUCUAAUUUCUGCAACACUGGACUAGUAGGAAUAACUUUUUAAAAAUUACUGUUCUGUAUAAAUAAACUUUGAAACUCAAGUACAAAAAACAUCUGAAAUAAAAAGCAUUGUCUUUUGGCCAUGACACAAGUGCACUGUGGCAGUGCCAUUUGCUCAGGACCCAACACUGCAGCCCUUCUGUGUGUGCUCCUCUCUCUCAGUUCUUUUGCCGUUAUUAUACACACGGGCCUUCCUGUCUGGUCCUUAGAAAAGCCGGGCUUCCAAAGCACUGUUGAACACUGAGGAUUCUAUUGUUAAUGUGGAUGUUUGAUGAGUUGUAUUUUAAAUAUCAAAGAUUAUUAAAUAAAGAUAAUGUUUGCUUUUUUA
rnacentral:lncRNA from 1 species